UGGGAUAUAGCUCAGUUGGUAGAGUGCUUGACCUGCAUGCACAAGGCCCUGGGUUCAAUCCCCAGUGCCCCCC
rnacentral:tRNA from 1 species